rnacentral:rRNA from 1 species
GACGAACGCUGGCGGCGUGCUUAACACAUGCAAGUCGAACGGAAAGGCCCUGCUUUUGUGGGGUGCUCGAUUGGCGAACGGGGGAGUAACACGUGAGUAACCUGCCCUUGACUUUGGGAUAACUUCAGGAAACUGGGGCUAAUACCCGAUAUGAGCUCCUGCUGCAUGGUGUGGGUUGGAAAGUUUCGGCGGUUGGGUAUGUACUCGCGGCUUAUCAGCUUGUUGGUAGGGUAGUGGCUUACCAAGGAUUUGACGGGUAGCCGGCCUGGGAGGGUGACCGGCCACAUAGGGACUGAGAUACGGCCCAGACUGCUACGGGAGGAAGGGGUGGGGGAUAUUGAACGAAGGGCGGAAGCAGGAUGCAGCAACGCCGCGUGCGGGAUGACGGUCUUCAGGUAGGAAAACGCUUUCGCGUGUGACGAAGCGUGAGUGCCGGUACUGGGUAAAGAAGCACCGGCAACUUACGG